rnacentral:tRNA from 1 species
GAGAAUAUAGCUCAGUGGUAGAGUGUGUGCUUAGCAUGCACGAGGUCCUGGGUCCAAUCCCCAGUACCUCC